rnacentral:rRNA from 2 species
GGCGCUGGUGGCAUGCCUAACACAUGCAAGUCGAGCGGCAGCGGGUCCUUCGGGAUGCCGGCGAGCGGCGGACGGGUGAGUAAUGCCUAGGAAUCUGCCUGGUAGUGGGGGAUAACUCGGGGAAACUCGAGCUAAUACCGCAUACGUCCUACGGGAGAAAGCGGGGGAUCUUCGGACCUCGCGCUACCAGAUGAGCCUAGGUCGGAUUAGCUAGUUGGUGAGGUAAAGGCUCACCAAGGCGACGAUCCGUAGCUGGUCUGAGAGGAUGAUCAGCCACACUGGAACUGAGACACGGUCCAGACUCCUACGGGAGGCAGCAGUGGGGAAUAUUGGACAAUGGGCGAAAGCCUGAUCCAGCCAUGCCGCGUGUGUGAAGAAGGUCUUCGGAUUGUAAAGCACUUUAAGUUGGGAGGAAGGGCAGUAAGCUAAUACCUUGCUGUUUUGACGUUACCGACAGAAUAAGCACCGGCUAACUUCGUGCCAGCCAGCCGCGGUAAUACGAAGGGUGCAAGCGUUAUCGGAAUUACUGGGCGUAAAGCGCGCGUAAGUGGUUUGAUAAGUUGGAUGUGAAAGCCCCGGCUCAACCUGGGAAUUGCAUCC